AGGACGAACGCUGGCGGCGUGCUUAACACAUGCAAGUCGAGCGGUAAGGCCUUUCGGGGUACACGAGCGGCGAACGGGUGAGUAACACGUGGGUGAUCUGCCCUGCACUUCGGGAUAAGCCUGGGAAACUGGGUCUAAUACCGGAUAUGACCUCCUAUCGCAUGGUGGGUGGUGGAAAGAUUUAUCGGUGCAGGAUGGGCCCGCGGCCUAUCAGCUUGUUGGUGGGGUAAUGGCCUACCAAGGCGACGACGGGUAGCCGACCUGAGAGGGUGACCGGCCACACUGGGACUGAGACACGGCCCAGACUCCUACGGGAGGCAGCAGUGGGGAAUAUUGCACAAUGGGCGAAAGCCUGAUGCAGCGACGCCGCGUGAGGAUGACGGCCUUGGUUGUAACUCUUCUAGCAGGACGAAGCGCAAGUGACGUACGUGCGAGAAAGAAGCGAACCGGACCUAAACGUAACGUACGACCGAACGACGACGACCGGC
rnacentral:rRNA from 1 species